GAUGAAGAACGCAGCGAAAUGCGAUAAGUAGUGUGAAUUGCAGAAUGCAGUGAAUCAUCGAAUCUUUGAACGCACAUUGCGCCUUCUAGUAUUCUGGGAGGCAUGCCUGUUUGAGCGUCAUUAAACCUCUCUCAAGUAUGAUUACUUGGAUGUGAAGGAAGAGUACCUUAAACUUAAGGAGUGUUCUCCUUUGAAAUUGAUUAGCAGAUGGUAAUGUUAUUAAAUCCCUGAUGUUGUAAGAAAUAACAGUGGUUUUGUAGACUAUUAUCUAGCUUUAAAUUAUAAUUUUUAUUAUGGUUGACCUCAAAUCAGGUAAGGAUACCCGCUGAACUUAAGCAUAUCAAUAAGCGGAGGA
rnacentral:misc_RNA from 1 species